rnacentral:tRNA from 1 species
UGACUUAUAGUUCAAUGGAAGAAUGCCACGCUACGAACGUGGAGAUAGAAGUUCGACCCUUCUUAAGUCAA